rnacentral:rRNA from 1 species
CACGUAGGGACCAAGCGUUGUCCGGAUUCAUUGGGCGUAAAGAGCUCGUAGGCGGUUCAGUAAGUCGGGUGUGAAAUCUCGGAGCUUAACUCCGAAACUGCAUUCGAUACUGCCGUGCUUGAGGACUGGAGAGGAGACUGGAAUUUACGGUGUAGCGGUGAAAUGCGUAGAUAUCGUAAGGAAGACCAGUGGCGAAGGCGGGUCUCUGGACAGUUCCUGACGCUGAGGCACGAAGGUCAGGGGAGCAAACGGG